rnacentral:rRNA from 1 species
UACGUAGGGUCCGAGCGUUGUCCGGAAUUACUGGGCGUAAAGAGCUCGUAGGUGGUUUGUCGCGUUGUUCGUGAAAACUCACAGCUCAACUGUGGGCGUGCGGGCGAUACGGGCAGACUAGAGUACUGCAGGGGAGACUGGAAUUCCUGGUGUAGCGGUGGAAUGCGCAGAUAUCAGGAAGAACACCCGUGGCUAAGGCGGUUCUCUAGUACGGUACUGACGCUGAGACGCGAAAGCGUGGGGAGCGAACAGG